rnacentral:rRNA from 1 species
AGCGAACGUUAGCGGCGCGCCUAACACAUGCAAGUCGCACGAGAGGGGGCAACCCUGAAAGUGGCGCACGGGUGCGUAACACGUAGAUAAUCUGCCCUAGAGCGGGGGAUAACGUUCCGAAAGGAGCGCUAAUACCGCAUAACGCUGCGUCCAGUUUGCUGGAUGCAGACAAAGGCUGGGACCGCAAGGCCAGUCGCUUUAGGAGGAGUCUGCGGCCCAUCAGCUAGUUGGUAAGGUAAUGGCUUACCAAGGCAAAGACGGGUAGCUGGUCUGAGAGGAUGAUCAGCCACACUGGUACUGGAACACGGACCAGACUCCUACGGGUGGCUG